UAUAUCGUAUGUUUUUUUUGUUAUCCAUUACAUUGCCUCAAAUUUGACUGAUUUCAGUGAUUUUAAACGAAAAGAGUCCAAAAAUAACGUACUCUGAAUCAAUUUCUGGAAAUGAUACUAGUACGACCCUCCAAGUACAUGGCAUCGAAGUAAACGGUGAAGGAUUGCGCAUUUCCAUAGGUUCCGCACAGGAUUUCUUCAACAUGAUGAUUGCAGGAGUGAAAACGCUAAUAGACGCGUUCAUGAAACCUCCUCAAUCACGAAUUAAAGUAUCUUCUUAAUUCAUCAAAAUCACUCAGGUAUAAAGGAUUGCAUCCGAAUUAAAACAAACAAUGAGAACAACCAAUCUUGGACAAGAUUUUUUGUACCUGCUCCUAUCAAGCAUUUAGAUUUAACUUAGGUAUUUAUUUGUAAUUUUAUUUUAUUUCACUCGCCUUCGGCUUCGGCUUGUUCAACAAACGUUGUUUACUCUACUCGUCCGGAAAACCUCAUUUUCUCCUCUUAUUGCGUAAUAUACUCGUGUACUACUCGUAUUAGCUAUGUACUUGGGAAAA